UCGAACUCAGAAACCAGCCUGCCUUUGCCUCUGGAGUGCUGGGAUUAAAGGCGUGUGCCACCAUGACCAUGUCAGUUUUUAAGAAUUUCCUUCACCACACUAGAAUUUGACAGAAGAAAUGAAAGACAAAUGAGGUAGAAGAAAGUUGUGGUCUUCAGAAAAGGAUAUUACACAAGAGAAAUUGAUCCCUACAUAUAGAGAGCAGCUAGAGGCGAGCCUGUGGAUUCCCUUCGCGCUUCCUGAAGCCUCCCUGCCCGGCUCUCCUCCCGAGCUUCUCUUAAGUGUGGAUGAAAGGAAAGAUCAGGUAGGUGUGGCUGCAGCACUGACCCCCAUAGUGGACCUUGGACCUCUUCUCCAUCUCGAGAGGAGGUGACCCUUGUAGCUCAGAGGUGACCCCUACAGCCCUACAGCACAGAGUGACCCCUACAGCACAGAGGUGACCCCUUAUAGCUCAGAGGUAUCCCCUACAGCAUAGAGGUGACCCCUACAGCAUAGGGGUGACCCCUACAGCACAGAGAUGACCCCUAUAGCUCAGAGUUGACCCCUACAGCAUAGAGAUGACCCCUAUAGCUCAGAGGUGACCCCUACAGCAUAGAGAUGACCCCUAUAGCUCAGAGGUGACUCCUACAGCAUAGAGAUGACCCCUAUAUCUCAGAGGUAUCCCCUACAGCAUAGAGGCUCCAGGCCUGCCCCUCCUUUCUCUUCCUGAUUAGCCCACACCACACCCUCCUAGGAUAUUUCCUGGGCCAUUAGCCAUUUUUCUUUCCCACAGUCACAGUCCUAGCACUAUGUUCUCCACAGGUAGACCCUGGCAUGCCACCAGCUGUCCCCGCCUGGUGGAGACUGGCCUGGAUUCUGUUUCAGGAGAGCCACCUUCAGGCCUUAAGAGAUUUUGCAGGUUAGAACAGCGUGGCCUCCUAAAAAUUGUUGUGGGGUACCUACCAGAGAAAACUACUCCAACAUGAGUUUAAGUCAAUAAAAAGUCUUAUUUGCCAGAACACUGUAUGUUUCAGAUCCCAGUGUCGCCCCGAGCCUUUAUCAGGGUGCACUUCUAAGCACAAAAACCUAUCCUGAGUUAAUUCAGUUAGGAAGAACAGUUAGCCCGAAGUGGGACUACAGAAGCCGACAAAGCGAAGUUAGACUUUCCCUGCUACGGACUUUGAUGGAUUAGGUCUUUAGUUUUGUUUGCAGGUGGUGCUAAGUACUGAGUUUUAUGGCCUAUAUGGUACCUCCAUCACCAUCAUGGAACUAGUUGUGCUUAGGUCUGGGGCCCAGGAAGGCAUGAGAGCCUGUCACAGAAGUGACUUGGGUGGUGAUCUUUUGCGAGUCAGCCCACCAGCCUCCACCAUUCUCUCUUGGUAAAUUGUUCUGGACGCUUUCUCCUUGAAGCCUGUUGUGGCCUCGGAACUUGACUGGGCUGGCCGGCCCCAGCCCUCGCCGGUGUCCCUGCCGGCAAGGAGCACGAGAGGACUGUACAGAAGAUGACGAAUUCUUUCACUUGUGUUGCCAUGGGGUUGUAAUUCUUUUCAAAGAUGUGAUCUGACAAGGGAACCUGUUUCACAACAGAACAAACAAAAAAGCCAGCUCCUCCCCUCCUUUCUUUGUAUAAAUAUAAACUCCUUGACCAUUCCAGGGUGUGGCUGCGGAUGGAAUGCUUUUACUGUAGAUAUGAAGGGCUAUACAGCUAGGCACAGCGGAGAACUUCUCCUGGAAUCCCGGCUGCUCCUGUAGCUCCCACUGACUCAUGCCGAUUCAGCAGCGGAGGACUGGUGGUUUCUGCUAGAUCCUGCCCUUGCCGCUGAUUCAUGUUUGCUAUCCUGAUGCUACUG